rnacentral:rRNA from 1 species
GGCGGCAGGCCUAACACAUGCAAGUCGAGCGGUAGCACAGAAGAGCUUGCUCUUUGGGUGACGAGCGGCGGACGGGUGAGUAAUGUCUGGGAAACUGCCUGAUGGAGGGGGAUAACUACUGGAAACGGUAGCUAAUACCGCAUAACGUCGCAAGACCAAAGUGGGGGACCUUCGGGCCUCAUGCCAUCAGAUGUGCCCAGAUGGGAUUAGCUAGUAGGUGAGGUAAUGGCUCACCUAGGCGACGAUCCCUAGCUGGUCUGAGAGGAUGACCAGCCACACUGGAACUGAGACACGGUCCAGACUCCUACGGGAGGCAGCAGUGGGGAAUAUUGCACAAUGGGCGCAAGCCUGAUGCAGCCAUGCCGCGUGUAUGAAGAAGGCCUUCGGGUUGUAAAGUACUUUCAGCGAGGAGGAAGGCGUUAAGGUUAAUAACCUUAGUGAUUGACGUUACUCGCAGAAGAAGCACCGGCUAACUCCGUGCCAGCAGCCGCGGUAAUACGGAGGGUGCAAGCGUUAAUCGGAAUUACUGGGCGUAAAGCGCACGCAGGCGGUCUGUCAAGUC